UACUCGAUUGAUUCGCCGUCGAUGUAGACGACGCCUUUUUUACAUCUAUUAUUUCUAAAUCAUCGUGCACCCGUGAUUAUACGUGAAUAAGAAUAAAGAAUAGUGGAAUCGGGGAAUACGUAUCGUAGUGAUUUUCCUCCAACUAUUCGAUCGAUUGUACGAUCGUAAAAAUUGUUCAUAAAAACACGGAAGAUUUAUCCGAUCGGUGUGUGGCUCGUCUCGUGAACACGUUCCACGAGAAGGGUUAAAGAAAGCUCGCUGGGAUGGCGUAGAUGGGAGAAGGGGGAAUAAAGCAAGAGGCGGUGGAAGCAACGGAUAGAGGUGGAGGUGAAGGCGGACAAGGUGGUGAAGAGAGAGCGAGCGUGAGAGGAAGAUAGCGAUAGAGCGAUAGAGUGAGAGGGAGGGAAAGAGAGAUGAGCGAACGAACGAGCGCGUAACUAGGUGCAUCAUGAAUAAUACGCGCAGCUCGUGAACAAGUGCACGCUCGUACGAUUUGUGCGUUCGUGGAUGCGUGAGGGUGUAGAACCGUGUACGUACGGGUUUAUUAUACACAUACGUACAUGCAUAUAUUCGCGUACAUAUAAAUAUAAUCGAACGCACCCAGAUAUCUAUUUAUAAGUUUAAACACAGGGCGAGAAGAAGGAGUGGUGGGAAUCUGUAGCGGAUGCUCGGUCACUGGUAGCCUGUACCGUGUGCCGCGCGCCUUCUCCUAGUGAUCUUCUAUCGCAAGUGUAAUAAUCCCACGGUGAUGCUUGUUAUUCGUGCGUGGACGUUAUUCGUACCGCGUUAACCGGAUCGAAUUCGAUUCGAGAAAAAUUUUAUUUUCCGCGCUUCGAUGGAAACGACGAUUAAGAGCAAAGGAAUUGGAUCGAGUUUUACCGCGUGAAAAAUCAAACGUGAAUCUUUGAAAGUGUGAAUCUUUCUUCGUCGAAUGGUGUGGAAUCCUCUGAGAGUGAGAAACGUCCGUAAGAAAGGAGAAAAGGAAUAAAUAAGCGGAGGGGAGGGGGAAGGGAGGAGAAGGAGAGAAGUAUAGAGAGUAAGAAGUAGCGGACGGCGAAGGAAAGGGACUCGAGUGGAACAAGUGUUGGCAUUGAGGAAUCGUGGUUGCCGCGAGUGCGUCAACGCGGAUAUGACGAGAGGAUACGCCCGAUUCUCGUGAUACGCGACGUAAUCGUUACCGAUCUCUCGCAAGAUAUGCGUUUUCCAUCCAAAUUUUUCUCUUCGCGUUUAAAUUCACGUUCAGAUUCUGGACGCACGUGCACACCGAAGAAUUAUAGCAUGUAUACAUAUAUCGUUUCAAACUUACCGCCUUCUUCGUGCCAACAAAACGGACAUAUUGGUUAUAGAGCGUGUAUAGUGUAAUCGCGAUUCGAUCGAGAUUUUUCAAUUCGUUCGACGUUCAUAAACAAUUUACAUUACACAAACGCUCGACGUUUACGACCGACAGUUUGACAGAUCUGUAUAUAAGAGUUUGUCUUCUUCUACUUUUUCUCGUGAUUAUAUUUUUCGUGCGUUUUUUUUUUUCCAUCAAUUUUUGAUUUUCGAAAACAGUUCGUGUCGACGAGUUGUGUACGCCGGCCACGAAUUGAUUAAUAGAAAAUCGAUAGGAAAAAUUUGUAAAAAAGUCUCGGUAUAUGUCUGUCGUUAAUUAGAAAAGGGCAGUGAUGCUCCAAUUCUCGUAAAAGCUUCUCGAUCGUUAAUUUGAGUUAAAAAGGACAAUACCUAAAUGCCAUUAAAAGGGCAUCGUCGUGUUCUUCCUUUCAGAAUCACCACCCCGAGUAUCGUCGUUAACGAUCCUUCUCCUUCGUGAAACGAUGACCUUUCUAGGGAAAUUUGUUUCCCUAGAAAAAUUUCAAAAUUGGCAUCGAUACGAUCUUAAUCCGAAAAAAAAAAGGAAACGGAUGUUCCGUGGACAUUUUUUAACUUUCAUAUUCGAACACGUGUCGUAAAAAUUUCCAUCGUAUUCCUUAUUAUUCCGCUCGUAAUACACGACGCAAUAUCGAUUUGCUUCAUUUUUACUCUAUUCUCCCGUUUUACUUCGAUCGUUCGAGAAGUUGGCGUACCACGAGUCUCGAUGGAUAAGGAAGUUUCCCGAAGAAGAAACUCGAGUCAAGUUUGGAUGUCAAUCCGAUCACCACGGUUCAAAAUCGGGAACUAAUCCGAAGGAAAUUCGGGUCGAUGUGUAACCGGGUUCUACGUUGGAUUCCCAUUCGACAUUCCAAGGCAUUCCGCCAGGAACGUUGCCUUCCUUUCCCAAGCGUAGAUUAGUUGAACAGACGUCAUCGCGUCUUGAAUUCCGUUCCCUGCUCGUCACUCGCGAUCUUUUCGUACGAACCGAAAAGCAUUUCUUUUUACGCCUCUCUCUCUCUCUCUCUCACUCUCACUCCGCGCGAGAAAUUUUCGCAGAGAACAAAAUGUACGUCCGCGGUGGAUAUUUAAUUAUCGCACACCACGCCUCGAUGAUUAUAAAAAGGCGUAUAAUACGUAAAAAAAGGAUGGCACGUAUUCGAGGAAACUAUUAUCCACGAAAUUAUUAUUGCUUUGUGCCGUGGCUUCCCUCGUUAACGAUCGUGCGACAGUCUCGACCAUUAGCCAUUACAACUUAUUGACAUCGUAAAACAUCGAUAAAACGAUCGUUUCGCUUUACUUGUUACCAAACGACAUUGUUACGAAUGCCUCGUGACGCAUGAGAACGUAACGAGAAGUUGCGUGACAAUUUUAUCUGGAAAAAAAAGGAAAAAAGGAUACACAGUUUCUCCUAGGGUUGAUAAUAAUUCGUGAUCGAACAGAUAACAGAUAACGAAUUAUCAAUAUUAUCCACGAAUACGUAUUGGCGCAUAAUUUCAAAAUGAUUUUAACGAAAGUUUUUCACGAACGAACAGAGUUAACGCGUGUAUAUAUAGGUAGACGUGUAAUAAUUACCGAUCCGACUAAAUACGACCGUCGAUAAAGCAGAUCGAUGAAGGAUAAAACAGAGAAGAUUCUUGAAAGGUUAAUUCCAUUAUUAUUAUUAUUAUUAUUAUUAUUAAAAAACUAACGAGAAGAGAAGAGAAGAUGAUACAGGAACAGGAAACGAUUCGAUCGACGAAAAAAAAAAAAAAAACAAACAAAAGCUGGAUUCGGGCGUGUUCGCUCGAUAUUCAGGCUAAUGAUAUUCGGUAUCGUCUGAACUGAAGUCACGCGAGCAAAACACACGGUCGAAGGACAAAGAGAUCGACUUUGAUUCUCCUCCUCGAAAAGGACGACUAACUUGCUGCCGCCAUCCUACCUUGUCAUUUCCCUAAUGAAAGUUGCCACCCAGGCCAAUCGCCUAAGAAACUUCAUUAACGUGCCACCAGAUAUCACGACCAUCUUCGUUUCCGUUUCACCCGGCCGCGUUAUUAUUUCCAUCUAUCUAUCCUCUACGGUUUCCAGUUCUCGCUUUCGUUAUUAUUCGGUCGACGAAGCGAAUAUCACGUCACGUAAACGUAACGAUAAAUUGUGCUUGGAAUCGAAAUAAGAGACAGGGAAAAAUCAUCGAUUAUCCGCGAUCCCUUUUGUCGUGGGCGACAGUGUCCGUUGGAAGAGGUUUGAACGAUAACGUUCGGUACAGGAUUAACACGAUGACGUUCGAGAUCCGCAAUUCGAUCGAGUUUCCGUUUCAAAACGCUUCCGUCGACGGAUCGCUUUAGCGACAAGGAAAUUAUCGUUUCCUUUCUCCGUCCAAAGUGCUCCGAGUAGUGUUUCGCUUCAACGAUAUCGAUUCCCUUUAAUCGAAUAGAAUUCUUUCUCGAUCCGAAACCGCUUCUGCGACAUCUUUCUCCCCCUCCCAAAUUUUAUUUUCCUUCGUUCGAAUUAUCGUAUCUCGAAUGAAAAAUUUUAUUAUUAUAUCCGAAUAAUAACAUGCAUAAUUAUGCAUAAUUAUAUAAAAUAGUCUAUACAUUAUGUAUAUAUAUAUAUAGAUUAUUGCAGAGAUUAUUAUUAAUAUAGAAGCGAUGAAAAAUGUUGUGGAAUCGGUUGGGAAUUGGAAAAAGUGUAAUCGAGAUAGAUGACGCUGUUAUGGUGGAUUUAUCGUGUAUACGAACUACUGGGUUGCUUGCUAUCGAGCGCACGUUUGUCCGAGCCGACAAGGGCAUCAUCCACUCGGGGCGCGGAAUGGAAAAGGGAGAGGGCGAGUCAUCGAUGUGUCACAAGUGUCUCUUUCGUGGAAGAAGCGUCAAUUCUGCAGAUUCGAUGUUGGGAUAUCAUCCCAAAUGCACUCGACUCGGUGACCUAGAGUAUCAACUAUUUUUAAAGCUUUUUUUUUUUCUUUCUUUCUUUCUCUCUCUCAUCCGUUUCGCGCAUCCGUUUCGUUCCUAAGCUUUGGCGACAAAAACACGCCAAACGGGGAUAACAAGCGAGCGAGACGCGUUUAACGAAUCGCGGGCUUAUGCUCUUUUCAAACGGAAAGAGAUGAGACGAUAGAGUUCGAUGAGCUUCACGUGUAAGAGUAAAAAUAUCUCGAGUACGAGUUUCGAGAAGAAACGGAUCACGUUAUAGCUACAACUGAUAUUCGAUUUUGAAUACUUUACUCGAUUGUAUUGUCGCGUACUUUCGUAAUUUACAGUUUUAAGCGAGUUUCCGAAUCGAGCAAUAUGCUUUUACGCAUAUAUAGCGAUUCGAACGAUAAACAGAGUUGAGCAUUGAACGAGUAAACUAGUUGAAAAUUUCGAAUAAAGUUGAUGUAAAUAAUCACUUGUUAAAAUGUUGGAAUAUUUAUUCGUAUAUAAAGCUAUAAAUCUCGAUCAUUACGAUUAUUAUUAUAUUUCGAACGAUCGAAAUUAUCGAAGUAAAAUUUUCCUCGUAAACUUCAACUAUUAAAUUUUGCUCAUCACUAUGCCACCAAGUUUUGGACAAAAUUUGAUCGAGCUUGUUUCGUUAUACACGUGUUGCGUCGCAUCAAUGGCCGUCCAUUUUUUUUGCACUACUUACGAAAUAGAUUCGAUAUAUCGAUUUAUUUUAAAUCGAUCGAUAGCGAUUUUUUCGAUCGUUCUUCGCUCUCGAUUGGUCGACUCUGUUUAUCGAGCGUACGCGUAUUACGAAUAGGGAAGGAUAAAAAAAAA